CACACAUCCGGGAGCGGCCUGCGCCGCACGGCACCAUGGGAGCAACCAGUCCCGGACCCUGGUCUUUCCCUCAUGGAAGAGCAUCCGAGGACCAGGAGUGGAAAACAGCGAGGAUGCAUCUCCGCCAGGAACCUGUGGCCCCCGCAAGCUGAUGGAGAGGUUAUAGAAGGUUGACAAGGGAGGGGAGAAAUGUGA